CCUACUCCUACGGGAGGCAGCAGUAGGGAAUCUUCCGCAAUGGGCGAAAGCCUGACGGAGCAACGCCGCGUGAGUGAUGAAGGUCUUCGGAUCGUAAAACUCUGUUAUUAGGGAAGAACAUAUGUGUAAGUAACUGUGCACAUCUUGACGGUACCUAAUCAGAAAGCCACGGCUAACUACGUGCCAGCAGCCGCGGUAAUACGUAGGUGGCAAGCGUUAUCCGGAAUUAUUGGGCGUAAAGCGCGCGUAGGCGGUUUUUUAAGUCUGAUGUGAAAGCCCACGGCUCAACCGUGGAGGGUCAUUGGAAACUGGAAAACUUGAGUGCAGAAGAGGAAAGUGGAAUUCCAUGUGUAGCGGUGAAAUGCGCAGAGAUAUGGAGGAACACCAGUGGCGAAGGCGACUUUCUGGUCUGUAACUGACGCUGAGGCGAAAGCAUUACAC
rnacentral:rRNA from 1 species